rnacentral:rRNA from 1 species
GACGAACGCUGGCGGCGUGCUUAACACAUGCAAGUCGAACGGAAAGGCCCCUUUGGGGGUACUCGAGUGGCGAACGGGUGAGUAACACGUGAGUAACCUGCCCUUGACUUCGGGAUAACUUCAGGAAACUGGGGCUAAUACCGGAUAGGAAUCCUUGCUGCAUGGUGGGGGUUGGAAAGCUUCGGCGGUUUUGGAUGGACUCGCGGCUUAUCAGCUUGUUGGUGGGGUAGUGGCUUACCAAGGCUUUGACGGGUAGCCGGCCUGAGAGGGCGACCGGCCACAUUGGGACUGAGAUACGGCCCAGACUCCUACGGGAGGCAGCAGUGGGGAAGAUUGCACAAUGGGCGGAAGCCUGAUGCAGCAACGCCGCGUGCGGGAUGACGGCCUUCGGGUUGUAAACCGCUUUCAGCAGGGGCGAAGCUUCUGGUGACGGUACCUGCAGAAGAAGCACCGGCUAACUACGUG